rnacentral:rRNA from 1 species
AGGAUGACCAGCCACACUGGAACUGAGACACGGUCCAGACUCCUACGGGAGGCAGCAGUGGGGAAUAUUGGACAAUGGGGGCAACCCUGAUCCAGCAAUGCCGCGUGUGUGAAGAAGGCCUGAGGGUUGUAAAGCACUUUCAGUGGGGAGGAGGAUUAGAUGGGUUAAGAGCUAAUUGAUUGGACGUUACCUACAGAAGAAGCACCGGCUAACUCCGUGCCAGCAGCCGCGGUAAUACGGAGGGUGCGAGCGUUAAUCGGAAUUACUGGGCGUAAAGGGUGCGUAGGUGGUUAUAUAAGUUAUCUGUGAAAUCCCUGGGCUCAACCUGGGCAGGUCAGAUAAUACUGUUUGACUCGAGUAUGGGAGAGGGUAGUGGAAUUUCCGGUGUAGCGGUGAAAUGCGUAGAGAUCGGAAGGAACACCAGUGGCGAAGGCGGCUACCUGGCCUAAUACUGACACUGAGGCACGAAAGCGUGGGGAGCAAACAGGAUUAGAUACCCUGGUAGUCCACGCUGUAAACGAUGUCAACUA